CUGGGCGCCGGCGCCUCUUGACCGAGCGCUCGCGGGGAGGCGCUCGCCGCCCUCCAUCAGUCAACGUUCACAGACACAGCCUUGCCUUCUGCGCAGCCGGCUGCGGGGAGCGCACGUGUGCGGGAGGGAGACGUCGAAGGGGAAACUGCUUUUCCGACCGCCUGCCCUCCGCGGAGUCAUUCCCAGUAGAAAGCCAACAGGGCGGAGUGGUCAGUCACCCCUCCCCCACCCGCGGUGUCCCUUCCCAAGUGGAUUGUUACAACUGAUCUAUUACUGUGGUUACUCCCUCACUGUGCCUAGCUUAAACGUCAUUACAGGCGAUCUGGUGCGCGCUCCCUGGGCCAGCUGACCCGGCCAGCUGCUGCAGUGGGAGGCUGUGUCCCCUCCACCUGACUCCUGACCCGGCAGGCACUGGGAGAAUGGGCCCAAAUGAGCCUUAAGGAGGAAGACCACACAGCUGGGUCACCACUGUGAGAGCCACAGGAGCAAGCUUGGCGGAGACCAGAGCGGCCCAUGGAGCCCAGCCAAAGCCACCUGCCCACAGACCCGACUCGUAAAGACUGCGGAGCCCAGCAAAGUGGUAGGAACCCAAUCUCGAUGUAACAGUUUUUCUCUGGAACAGACCCGAGCAAACUCAGCAGGAGGCAGUCGCUGCCCCGCCACCCCCUCGGCACAGCUCACACUCCUGCGGCACCGGCAUCAAAGGUGGAUAAUCUCUGCAAGAGCCGGAAGACAGCACCGCUCUGCCCCAGAGGAAGGUGGCACCCUGGUGGGGACGCUGGCCCUCCACUCACCUCAGCAGGGCACCACACACCCUGUCCCCUUUGAGACAGCCCGCGUGACCCUCUCCCUCCUACCUGCUCCCCAGUUUUGUUAUCCACCUGCCCCCUUCUCCCUGCUCCCGCGAGCACACUGAUGACAGAGCAGUACUUACAUCGAAGGUGCUCAGUCAUCCACAGAGUCUGCCCCCCCCAGCAGUACUUAGAACAAAAGUGCUGAGUCAUCACAGAUCCUGCUCCCUCUCAGUCGAGGCGUUCGAAAGUCAGGCGUGAAAGCCGCCUCGUGGGUUUGCAGGGAAGGCAGAGCCCAGCGUCGUCUGUGCCUGCGAAGCGGUCUCUCUUCAUCUUUCGGGCUUUGCGGUGUAGCAGUCAGAGUCCCGGGCUGCUGGCCACUGCGCCGCCACUCCACUGGGAAGGGAUGGCCCGCCCUUCUCACGGCGCCCCUCUUAGUAGCAGACCAGGGAGCUGGACGGGCUGAUGGAGGAGACAACUGGAGGUGUUGGGACUUGAAUAAUGGCAUCACUUAAAGGUAAAGAGGCAGCCAGGUAACUUCCACCCCCAGUUCCCAGACCAGCCACAGGGAGGCAGAGCCGUUAGGGCCCGGCUGCGCUCUGCUAGGUGUGCUAAACUUCCUGGAAAUGGAAUAGGAUGGAGGACUGCACGCUUUCCAGGACUUUCUGGAAGGGUGGGAGGAUGCACUGGGUACGCUCCCCUUGAGGGAGGUGCUGGGGCUGCGGUGGGGGCCUUUUCAAGUGAGUCUGGUCUGUUUGCCUGAGCAGGGGCUCUGGGUUGAAGGCCGAGCUGGAUCACCGACCUCCACCCAGGGAGCCUCCUGUCCUGCCCCUCCCCACAGGGCCUUCAAAACGUCCAUGCAAAAGCGGACUUAAAAGCCCCCUCCUUGGAAGCUGCCCCACUCUCAUGUUGGAAAUGAGUCCCACUGCUGGGCACACCUGCAGGCCCUGAGCCUCUGAGUGCCCAGAAUGGCUGAAAAAUCAGCAUCAGGACCCAGUGGAGGCAGGCAAUCAGCCCGUGCAGGUCAGAGGGAGCCACAGGACAUGUGCUCCGAGGAGCAGGCCAAAGGCACAGGGCGGCGGCCAGCUGCUGCAGCGGCUGUCUCCAGGCCAGCAGCCUCCCAGGGCUCUCCCUGUGUGCAGGCACCCAGAGGGACAACAAUGAGGAAAGCGCUUAUUAAACAGGUCCUGGCCAUGUUAGAGAAGCUGCCAUCUUGCUUCCUGAGUUGUCACUUGGGAGCUGAUGGACAGCAGGCUGUCUGCGGGGUGGGGUGUGCAGGUGAGGGGCUGGCUUCCUGGACGGGAAGCCGCCAGCUGCAGGACACAGUUCUGUGUUCACGAGGCCUGGCCGUUGUCCACCCCCUCUUUGCAAACCAGGUGUCUUCAAAACAUCCAUGGGACGGGCAUACCAUGCAAAAACAGCCCCAAAGUCAGCUUACCUUCUAAUCUCAUUUUCAUGAGCUCUUGAAGUCCCUUUCGUACGGAAUUUUCUUGGCCGACAAGGACAGCCAGAGAUGGCAGUGUGGGUAGCGUUUGAAACCCCUCACCAGCUUGGACCAGUGGAAGCACAGAGAGGUCAUCCAUGCCUGA